GGCUUUGCUUCGUCUGCUUGACCUCACGGUCCAUGAUCUCUACUGGUUCCUCCACGAAGUUGAGGCUCUCGUUGAUCUCGAUCUCGUCGAGUGGGAUUACAAGAGUCUCGUCGGACAAACACUUUUUCAAAUUAGAGACGUGGAAUGUAGAAUGUACGUUACGAAGUUCAUCGGGUAGGUUGAGCUUGUAAGCUACAGGGCCGAUUCUUGCGAGAAUCUCGAAAGGCCCUAUGUAUCUUGGAUUGAGCUUCCCACGCUUUCCAAAGCGUAUCAAGCCCUUCCAGGGUGAGACCUUCAGUAGAACACGGUCACCUACCUGGAAUUCCAACGGUUUCCUUCGCUUGUCAGCGUAGCUUUUCUGUCGGUCUCUAGAGGCUUUCAAUCGUUCACGAAUUUGAACGAUCUUCUCUGUCGUUUCCCAAAUGAUCUCCGGACCUGUGACAGUGCUUUCAGGAACUUGUCCCUUAGCUAACUGGGUAUCACCCACCUCAGCCCAACACAGAGGGGUCUGCACUUUCGGCCAUAGAGGGCCUCGAAUGGAGCUGCCUUUAUGCUCGUGUGAUAAAUGUUGUUGUAGGAAAAUUCAACAAGGGGUAAAUGGGUAUCCCAAGCUUUCCCAAAUUCAAUCACACAGGCUCGCAACAUAUCUUCUAAUGUUUGGAUAGUUCUCUCACUUUGUCCGUCGGUCUGUGGAUGGUAGGCUGUACUCAUGUUCAACCUAGUUCCUAGGGAAUUUUGUAACGACUGCCAGAACCUCGAAGUGAAUCUACUAUCUCUGUCCGAGAUAAUAGAUAAGGGAACACUGUGCAGUCUUACAAUCUCCCUAAUGUAAGUUCUUGUAAGUUUCUCCAUCUUGUCUGUUUCUUUGAUUGGCAAGAAGUGUGCAGACUUGGUCAGUCUAUCGACGACGACCCAUAUGGAAUCAAGUCCACCCAUCGUCUUGGGCAACUUAGUUAUGAAGUCCAUAGUGAUCCGCUCCCACUUCCAUUCUGGUAUCUCCGAUUGCUGUAGAACACCGGAGGGUUUCUGGUAUUCGACCUUGACCUUUGCAAGAGAAAGGCAUUUACUCACGAAGGUAGCAAUAUCUGCUUUCAUGUUAGGCCACCAGUAUAACUUUUUAAGAUCCAAAUACAUCUUAUCUAAACAUGGGUGGAAGGAAUAACGAGUGUUGUGAGCUUCGGUCAUGACCAAGUCUCUGAAGGCACCGUGUUUCGGUGUCCAGAUCCAAUCCAUGAGGUAUAAGGCUCCGCCACCCUUGGCUUCCAAGUUUUUAUCCAUCCCUCUAAGGGAUUCACCUGCCAUGUUUUUAGGUUUCAAAGCGUCGAGCUGAGCCUCCUUAAUUUGCGUGGACAAGUGUGAAUGGAUAGUUAGAGCCAAAGAUUUGACUCUAUGACUAGCAUAUUCUUUCCGACUUAGGGCGUCGGCUACUACAUUGGCUUUACCCGGAUGAUAACGAAUUUCGCACUCAUAAUCACUGAGUAGCUCGACCACAGUUGUUGUCUCAUGUUGAGCUCCUUCUGGUCGAAAAUGUGUUGUAGACUCUUAUGCUUUGUAAAGAUUGUGCUUUUUGUACCAUAUAGGUAGUGUCUCCACAUCUUCAUAGCAAACACAACUGCUCUUAGCUCAAGAUCAUGGGUGGUGUAGUUAACCUCAUGUGUCUUCAGCUGUCUCGAGGCAUAGGCUAUGACUUUACCUCGCUGCAUCAGAACACAUCCGAGUCCUUGAUUUGAUGCAUCGCAAUAGACAAUGAAGUCUUCUAUCCCUUUGGGGAGGGAUAGUAUUGGUGCGGUGCAAAAGGCUCGCUUGAGCGUUUGGAAUGCUCUUUCCUGUUUCUCUUCCCAGUCAAAGGCCACGCCUUUCUGGGUCAGGGUUGUAAGAGGUUUCACUAUGCGGGAGAAGUUCUGAAUGAACCUGCGAUAGUAGCCAGCGAGACCUAGAAAUUGACGAAUUUCUGUAGGUGUCUUCGGUGCUGACCAGUUCUCGAUGGCCUUGAUUUUGGAAGGGUCCACGUGUAUUCCCUCUUCGCUAAUAACAUGGCCCAAAAAUUCGACUCGUCGGAUCCAAAAUUCGCACUUGGAGAACUUCGCAUAGAGCUUCCCCGAUCGUAAUGUUUCUAAUACUCUACAGAGACGUUGACUAUGUUCCUCCUUACUUCGAGAGUAGAUAAGUAUGUCAUCAAUGAAAACAAUGACGAACUGAUCCAAGUAAGGACGACAUGCCCUAUUCAUCAGAUCCAUGAAUACUGCGGGCGCGUUANAAUGGCAUCACUACAAACUCGUAGUGCCCAUAACAAGUUCAGAAGGCUGUCUUGGGAACAUCCUCCUCUAACACUCGUAGUUGGUGAUAUCCGGAUUGUAGAUCUAUCUUCGAGAAAUAAUUGGAUCCUUGAAGUUGAUCAAAUAAAUCAUCAAUGCGGGGCAAAGGAUAAUGAUUUUUAAUGGUAAGCUUGUUGAGUUCUCUAUUCGGCACAUACGAAACGAUCCAUCUUUCUUCUUGACGAACAAGACCGGUGCUCCCCAUGGUGAGAAGCUUGGCCUAAUGAAUCCCUUCUUGAGAAGUUCGUUAAGCUGACUGGAAAGUUCCUGCAUCUCGGCCGGUGCCAGACGAUAAGGAGAUUUGGCUACGGGAGUAGCUCCUGGCACUUAGUCGAUUCUGAACUCGACUUGGCGUUGUGGUGGUAAUCUGGGAAGUUCUUCUAGGAAGAUGUCGGGAAAGUCGCGUACUUCGGGGAUUUUCUGAAUGUCUUUCACCUCUUGACUUGUAUCGACGAUGUGUGCGAGGAAUGCAUGAUAUUCCUUUCGCAAGCACUUCUAGGCUUGGAUGCACGAAAUGAUUCGAAGACUCGUACUAGGUUUGUCGCCAUAGAUAACUAAGGUUCCGUUGUUAGGAAUGUUAAGAUGAACUGUUUUUUCAAAGAACAUGAUGUCAGCGCGGAGACAACUCAACCAAUCCAUGCCGAUGAUAACGUCAAAACAUUUAAUUGGGACCGGCAUGAGGUCUAUCUUGAAAGUAUGGCCAUCUAAAGUUAAAGUACAACCUACGUAUAUGAAGUUAGUACUCUCCGUUUUCCCAUUGGCCAUUUCUACCGUGAAUGAAUUAUCUAAUGCACAUGGUUUUUGUUUAAGCAGGUGUGCAAAUUUAUGACUAACGAAACUUUUCUCUACUCCACUGUCGAAAAGUAUGCAAGCAUAUGAGUUAUCAAGGAGAAACGUACCAGUAACUAUCGUAGGAUCAGCUACCGCUUCCUCAUGGCCUAGGGCCAUAACUCUUCUUACUCCUCCAGCCAUCCCCGCUUUAGGGCAGUUCCUCUUGUAAUGGCCCACUUCGCCACAACCAUAGCAAGUUUGGCCCAUACCGGCGUUAGGAACCUGGGCGGUCUGAGCUGUUGUAGUCUUGCAGAAAUGGGUUGGAUGCCCCUUCCUAUUGCAGUUAGAGCACUGCAUCUCCCUGCAAGGUCCGUGGUGGGAAGUUGCAUNCUGCAUUUGUUGCACUUCAGGAGAGUUCCAACAUAAGUUUUUGCUAGUAAGGGGUUCGUAGGGACAACGGGAGUUACCGUGGCAGCAUUGAUUGCCACAAGUUGUUGUCUCUUGGAGAACUCUUGUGAAGCCCCUCUUUUCCUCUUGUUCCACCCCUUCCUCUUGUUGUUGACCUUUUGUGGUACGGGUGCAGGGAUUGUUGGGUUCUGAGGUUCCCUAUGAUCUAUGAGAGAUUGUGCCAGCUCCUUGGCACUAUUGAAGGUGACAAGCUUGGAAGCUAACACACUUGACUGGAUCUGGGGCGACAGUCCCCAGAUAUAUCUCUCUGUCUUCUUGCUCUCGAGAGCAACCAUAUUAGGGCAUAGGAUUGCCAGAUCACAGAACCUAUUUUUGUAGGUUGAUAUGUUGGAUCCAACCAUUUGUAGACCCCAGAGUUCCUACUCGAGUUUUUGUAAUUCACCUCGAGGACAGUAGUGUGACUACCCGAAAUUCUUUCCAUCAUUGUAACCCGUUCCGUCAAUAAAAUUUGUCGUUUUCGAAUUGUUUCCGUUUCGUUAUUAAAUUAAGUCAUUAAAUUUUAGUUGUUUAUUAUGACUUAAUGGGUGUUCAAACACGUUAAUAACUCAAUAAAAUAUUCCAAAUUAACAAUUAGAAAAAUUUUGGUUUCGACCAUAUCGGGUUACGACAACUUUAUCGGGUGCGACCAAAAGCCUCAUAUAACGUUAGUAUCGGGUAGAAUUCCAUCGGGCCAUAAACUCAACCCUUAUAUGGGAUUGAGUGACAUCAUUUUGAAGCUUUUUCUCUCUCUAAAAUCACUUUCUCUCACUACUCUCUCUCUAGAACUCGAAAUGGAUCCAAAAACCCCAUUUCAAGCCUCAAUUUGGUAAGUACUCCAUCCUAACUUGUUGUUUAACUUGAUUGGCAUGCAAAUUCAUGUUUGAAUCACCAAAAAAAAACACCCAUGAACAUGUGUUUACGGUUUGGGGACCCUCCCAAAACCGUGAACACCCCUAAAGAGGGUUUUGAAUCCCCAAAACCCCUCCAAUCCACUUCUAGUGCUUAGAUAUGGCUUAGAAACUUGCAUGCAUGAGCUUAGGACCCCAAAAUCGCACCAUUUGAGGUAUGGACCUGAGUUUACGGCCCAAGAACAUGCUUGGACCAUAAACCCUCAAUCAUAGACCUUAAACACCUUUUAAGUUGUUAGUUUUCCCAUAAACACCUCCAAUGAACUUCCAUGAGUGCAUAGAACCUUAUAAUCCUUCAAGAAAUGCACCAAAACAUACACAAAUGGGACAAACUUGAGUUUACGGCCCAAGAGUAUUCUUGGACCGUAAACACAUCUCCUUAGACCAUAAACUCCUCCAAUGGGUGUUAAAGUGCCUUUAACACCUUGUAUGGCUUGGAAUUGGACCUAGAACUUUGUAUGCUUAACCUACAACCACUAAAACCCAUGAAUCAUGGACAAACAUGAGUUUACGGUUGUAAACUCAUGUGUUUAAGGUAGUAACCUCCCAAGAACAUCUUCAUAGACCGUAAACUACUUUUCCAAGGUCAAUUCAAGUCCCAAUCACUUCCUAAGCCAUGUAAUCAACCCUAGAACCUUCCUAUGUGCAUUGUAAUCUACCUAGGACCACCAAAACACCUAAAGACAUGGAACAUAAGAGUUUACGGCCGUAAACUCGUAGUUUAUUGCCGUAAACUCCUCAAAUGGUCCUUAGGAUGUUCAAAUCUAAUUCAAAUGCAUUGAAACCAAGCCUAGCAUCAACCCUCAUGAGUGAUAAGGGUAUUUAGCAACCAAGAACAACCCCACCAUGAGUUUACGGCCAUAAACUCAAGGGGAGUGGGUCAUUUGGACCGUAAACUCCUAAAGGUGUUUACUCUUGAAGAGUAAACUCCAUAUCCAAGCCAUACUCAUCCAUAGAUGCUACCCGGGUCACUCCAAACACUUGAAUUGAAGUAUUUUUGCGUCUAGAAGUGUUUACUCUAGGGAUGAAAGUGGGUCCAAAUUGGAUAGACUAAAUGAGAGAAAUAACACUUGGAGAUUAUUAAUAUAUUAUAAGUUCUAAUAUAUUAAUAAUANUUGGACAAGGCUACAACAAUCAUGAGUGCUCAUAAGUUCUGAGCAUUGGACUCAACCCACGCUCACUGGAAUCACUUCAUGGAAUUCUAUCUCGAGUGAUCGUGAGACGGUAAUAUCAUAUAAGUCUUCAAACCUAGAGAUAUGAUUUGUUACUUACAAGUUGGUUAUGCAUUGACUGUACGAAACCGCAUUGGUAACUCGAUGUUAUAAAACGUACUUUUGUGUGUAAUUCAAUGAGUGGUAGAACAAACAUAUGAGUCGAAGUUUAUCUGUUCCUUCUUGGAUUAGAAGCUGAUAUCUGGGCCCCUCGAUGAUUUUGUUUUGACCCAUGUACCGGGCCCGGUCAGAACUAAGUUGAUGUGUUCAAUUAAGUUCUAUGUCAAACAAAUCGGAAAUCGGGAAACAAAUGCUGGACAAUAAGCAAGACAAUGUUCCAUGUAUUUGUCCGGCUGAUAUCUAGAACGGAGGAUUAUAUGAUCACUUAUCUUAAAUGGCGUACUAUCAUCUUCUCAGUUCGGAAACACUCCACAGAGAUACGCGAGUGGAGGACCGCCCCUAUAACCAGAAUCUCUUAGAUAGGGAGCGUGACUUGAGUGUAUAGAUCUAUACGGGGCUGACUACCCCACACCUCACUGCUAGCUACAGUCGAACCGAAAGGUUCAAGGGUGAUGAAAGUCAUAAAGUGAUGUGGACUACUUAUUGCCAUAUCUAGUCUAUCGUAUGGUUAUGGAACUCGCAAAUUGGAUAAUAGAGAUUUACUUGUUAGUAAUAAUGGGUUAGUAACUAGUUUACUUUAUACUUAUUAGUUUUAUAUACAUGUUAAAACUAAUACAGUUCACAAGGAUAACCAGGUUUUUAGAUUACAUCUUUUACAUUACAUUUCAGUUCGGUAACCAAUUUUUAGGAAAAUAUGGGAUUUUCCUGGCAUAACAGUUCUUCAUAACGAGAUUUGUGUAACAAAACAGAUAACCAAACUUUACAUAUAAGAAAAUAUGGGAUUUUCUAGGAUUCGUAACUUUUUCAGAAACCGAAAGGAAAGUUGUUCAUUUUUUAGAAAACAAAACCGCUUAUGAACUCACCAGCUUUAUUCUGAUUUUCAAACUGCUUGUAUUCUCAGGUUCGCAUUAGACAGGUACCCCAACAAUCCUUUUUAGCGAAGACAGAGUUCGAAGAAGACACGUCUUUACGUUUGUUCAUAUAUACAUAUGUAUAACAAUUGUAAGUUUUUACUUUCAAACAAAUGUAAAUUUUAAUAUGUAAUGCAAUGUUUGUUUACUUCGCUUACUAUGGACAUUGGUUGUGAUACUUAACAUGAAGUCACCUCCGCCCCGAAACGUUUCCGCCCUGGGUUUCGGGGUGUGACAGAUUGGUAUCAGAGCCCUUGUUUAUAGUGAACCAGUAUACCAAACCUUACAUGGUAUAAGACUAUAAACAUUAAGGGGCCUAAGUGCUCUGAACUAAAAGUGUACUUUAAAAUAUAAAUAUUUUCAAAAAGUAUAUAAGUUUACCUAACCGUUGAGAUCCGUAAUUACAAGUAGAACAAAACAUAAGUAAAUGGGUGUUGUACGCUGCAGUUAAACCUGGGCAGUUAUGUAGUUGUGUCUANGUUAUGUAGUCGUGUCUAGGAUCAAUAUAGCCUGGCCAACUAUAUUCAUUCGAGACACGGCCAACAUAUGCUUGGGAGUGACUAUAGUGUUCAGCAUGCCUAAAACUUACCCAAUACCCAAACAAUGAGCCGUCGUCGCAGCGAAUCACGAAAUACUAUGGGAGUAUUUCUAGUGCCAACUUCGUUAGAGAAAUCCUCAUUCCAACGUUGCUCCUCGAUCCUUCUUUUAUCGAUAAUUUAUCUGCUUUGAUAACUCAUACCUGCUUUAUCGCUUAAUAGAAUUCAAUAUCUGUCAUAUCUCUUGAUUCAAUUCAGAGGACUUACCAUCCUCUCAUUCCUAAUCUUUAUAGAUCAAGAUGCCUCCAAGAAAGAGACCCAGCUCAAAGAACAACAAUCCUCCUCCGCCACCACCUCCUCCUCAAUUUGAUCUUGUAAUGUUCCAGAUAGCUGUUACUGCCGCGGUGGCAGCUGCUAUAUCGCAAAUGAACCCCGGUGGUUUAGGAGGUGGUCCCCAGCCUCAAAACCAGGAAGGUAGCCAGGGACACCGAAAGGAGUGUUCCUAUAAAGAUUUCAUGAACGCAAAACCCACUUCCUUUGAUGGCACUGGAGGUGUCAUUUCCCUCCCCCGAUGGUUCGAGAAAAUCGAAUCUAUCUUUGAAAUCUGUGCUUGUUCGGAGUCUGAUAAGGUGAAGUUCGCCGCUUGUACCUUCACCGAUAAAGCUUUGACUUGGUGGAACGGCCGAGUCAAAUCCUUAACUCUACCUGUAGCUAAUGUUAUGGGUUGGGAGGCCAUGAAGGAACUUCUUCUAGCUAAGUACUGCCCUCGGGGCGAAAUACAGAAGUUGGAGCAUGAGCUUUGAAACCUGAAGAUGAAAGGUUCCGAUAUCGCUGCCUACACUUCCAGAUUCGAUGACCUAGCGCUACUCUGUCAGGGAUUGGUUACCUCGGAGAGUAAAAAGAUCGAGAGAUUCAUCUGGGGGCUGACCCAACCGACCAAAAGAAAUGUCUUAUCUGCGAGGCCGGAUACAUAUGACAGUGUCAAAAGCUUAGCCCAAACUCUGAUUGACCACAGUGACGACCACGAGGAAGCAACCACUACUCCUGAACCGACUAAGAGGAGUGGUGAGAAAAGAAAGUUUUGGAAGAAAAAGAAGAGUCAGCCUUCUCAAGGAUCCUCAAAGAAACAACAGACUGUAGCAGUCCAUGCUACUACUAUCCCUGCUGCUGAUGCUGCUUUUGCCGUGGGAUCCACAGCUCAAACACCUACUAGUAGGUAUGCUAGUAACCUUCCCCAAUGCGACAAGUGUAAAUACCACCAUAAACCCGGCCCCUGCCGUGAAGUUUCAUGCACCAACUGUGGUAAAAAAGGGGCAUACGAUUCGAUUCUACAAAGCACCAGCCCAAUCAGCCAAUCAAUCUUCCGGAGCAGGUGUUGGUCAGGCCUGCUACAAUUGUGGAGAAUUUGGACAUUUCAAGAGAAACUGCCCCAAGAAGGCGACAGCUGAUAGCACCGGGAGAGUCCUAGCCAUGGGACGAGAAGAGGCAGUCGCCGAUCCCAUCGUUGUCUCGGGUACGUUCCUUCUCGACAACUCUUAUGCUAGUAUUCUUUUUGAUUCGGGUGUCGAAGGAAGCUUUGUUAGUCAUUCGUUCAAGCAUAACCUUAAACAUAAUCCCCAACCAUUAACCGAAACGUUUAUCGUCGAAAUGGCUAACGGUGAGAAAGAAAACGCUAGCGAUAUCUUCAUAGGUUGUACCCUUACCCUGAACGACCAUUCUUUUCCCAUUGAUCUUAUGCCAGUCUCCAUAAAGAGCUUUUGAUAUCAUUGGCAUGGAUUGGUUGAGUCCCAAUCAUGCUGAUAUCCUUUGUUACGAAAAAGCCAUCCGUCUCAACCUCCCCUUUGGUCAGACUCUCAUGAUCUAUGGAGAUAAGCUUAGCUCCAAUCUUCGUAUCAUUUCCUGCAUCAAGGCUCAAAAGCUUCUGCGGAAGGAGUGCCAAGCAUUUCUAGCCCAUGUCAUUAACGAGAAACAGGAAGUUAAAGACCUCGCGAGCAUCCCUGAAGUCUGCAAAUUUCGUGACGUCUUUCCCGAAGAGCUCCCGGGAAUUCCUCCUGAAUUUCAAGUUGAGUUUCGCAUCGACCUAAUCCCUGGAGCUGCCCCCGUAGCCAAGUCUCCACAUCGCUUAGCUCCAGCAGAAAUGUAGGAGGUAUCCAGCCAACUCAACGAACUACUCAGCAAAGGGUUCAUCAGACCGAGUUCCUCACCCUGGGGAGCUCCGGUAUUGUUUGUGAAGAAGAAAGAUGGAUCCUUCCGAAUGUGCAUCGACUAUCGUAAGCUAAACAAGUUGACCGUCAAGAACCGAUAUCCUCUUCCUCGAAUCGAUGACCUCUUCAACCAACUUCAAGGAGCCAGCUACUUCUCAAAGAUAGACCUUAGGUCAGGGUACCAUCAGCUACGAGUUCAUGAGAGUGAUGUUUCCAAAACAGCUUUCAGGACUCGAUAUGGACACUACGAGUUCGUAGUGAUGCCCUUCGGUCUAACCAACAAACCGACAGUGUUCAUGGACCUGAUGAACCGGGUGCGUCGUCCCUUCUUAGACAAGUUCGUCAUUGUGUUCAUUGACGACAUACUUGUCUACUCUAGAAGCGAAGAAGAUCACAAGCAACACUUAAGGUCAGUAUUGGAAACCCUUAGAUCCGAAAAGUUGUACACGAAAUUCUCCAAGUGCGAAUUCUGGAUUUGGAAGGUAACUUCCCUUGCUCACGUGGUUAGCGAGGAAGGUAUUCACGUGGACCCUUCCAAGAUCAAAGCAAUAGAGAAUUGGUCGGCACCAAAGACACCCACAGAAAUUCGUCAAUUCUUGGUUCUCGCCGGCUAUUAUCGGAGAUUCAUCCAGAAUUUUUCCAGAAUCGCCAAACCUCUAACCACUCUAACACAGAAAGGUGUACCUUUUGUUGGAGUGAAAAGCAAGAAACCGUCUUCCAAACGUUAAACCGAGCCUUGUGCAGCGCACCGGUCCUGUCCUUGCUCGAAGGAACGGAGGACUUCGUUGUUUAUUGUGACGCGUCUAACUAGGGCUUAGGCUGUGUGCUUAUGCAAAGAGGAAAAGUUAUUGCUUAUGCCUCGAGACAGCUGAAGGAACACGAGGUCAACUAUACCACUCAUGAUUUGGAAUUAGGAGUCGUAGUCUUUGCACUGAAAAUUUGGAGACAUUAUCUCUACGGAACCAAGUGCACGAUCUUUACUGACCAUAAGAGCCUGCAACACAUCUUCAAUCAGAAAGACUUAAAUAUGAGGCAACGGCGAUGGGUAGAGUUACUCAGUGACUAUGAGUGUGAGAUUCGCUACCAUCCUGGCAAGGCUAAUGUGUUAGCAGAUGCCCUUAGUCGAAAGGAAAGUUCGAGCCAUAAAGUAAGGACACUGACGAUGACUAUCCAUUCCCAUUUAUCCAUGCAAAUCCGAGACGCCUAGUUAGAAGCCAUCAAACCAGAGAACGUGGCAAGUGAAGCCUUGAGGGGAAUGGAUAAGAAACUUGAGAUCAGAGGUGACGGAGUCUACUGUUUCAUGGAUCGAAUCUGGAUUCCAAAGUUCUAAGGAUUCAGGGAAGUUGUCAUGGAGGAAGCACACAAGACCAGAUACUCUAUUCACCCGGGUUCGGAUAAGAUGUACCUAGAUCUCAAGAGACAAUAUUGGUGGCCAAACAUGAAAGCUGAGAUCGCUACUUUUGUGGGCAAGUGCUUGAAUUGAGCCAAGGUAAAAGUUGAAUACCAGAAACCCUCAGGUCUGCUCCAGCAGCCCGAAAUACCUGAAUGGAAAUGGGAGAUGAUUACCAUGGAUUUCAUCACCAAGUUACCCAAAUCUCCGAGUAGGUACGAUACCAUUUGGGUAAUAGUCGAUCGUUUGACAAAAUCUGCUCACUUCAUCCUGAUUAAAGAAUCGUUCAAGAUGGAAAGAAUCACGUGAAUCUACAUCCAAGAAGUAGUCCGACUGCACGGUGUACCUGCAUCCAUUAUCUCUGACCGAGAUAGCAGGUUUACCUCAAGGUUUUGGCAGUCCCUUCAGAAAGCUCUUGGAACUAAACGGAUUAUCAUCCUCAGACCGAUGGACAGAGUGAGAGAACUAUUCAAACCUUGGAAGAUAGAGCAUGCGUCAUUGAUUUCGGAAAAUUGUGGGACACAUAUCUUCCCUUGAUAGAGUUCUCGUAUAACAACAGUUACCACACCAGUAUCAAGGCUGCUCCGUUCAAGGCCUUCUACGGUCGCAAGUGCAGAUCCCCUCUGUGUUGGGCCGAGGUAGGAGACACACAGCUAGCCAAGAGUCGAUUCCCCGACAUCGCUCUCACUGGUCCUGAAAUCAUUCGUGAAACCACCGAAAAGAUCAUCCAAAUCCAGGAACGAUUGAAAGCUUCACGAGAUCGACAGAAAAGUUACGCCGACAUACAACGAAAACCUCUGGAGUUCCAGGUUGGAGACCGUGUCCGGUUGAAGGUCUCGCCCUAGAAAGGCAUGGUACGCUUUGGAAAGCUUGGGAAACUUAACCCAAGGUACAUUGGACCUUUCGAGAUCCUUGCCAGAAUCGGUCCUGUAGCCUAUAAAAAGUGUUUAUCCGACGAAACCCUCGUGAUCCAUCCUAUAUUCCACGUCUCGAACCUUAAAAAGUGUUUAUCCGACGAAACCCUCGUGAUCCCCCUGGACGAGAUCGAGAUCGAGAUCAACGAAAACUUGAACUUCGUGGAGGAACCUAUCGAAAUCAUGGAUCGAGAAAAUCAAACGUACGAAGCAAAGCCGCAUCCCGAUAGUGAAGGUUCGCUGGAAUACCAAGCGAGGACCGGAAUUCACUUGGGAGCGCGAAGACUCGAUGAAACAGAAGUAUCCGCAUCUAUUUCCAGAUCCAUAAUUUGUAUCUUAAUCUUGAAUUUCGGGACGAAAUUCCCUCUAACGGGGGGAUAAUGUGACAACCCAAAAUUCUUUCCGUCAUUGUAACCCGUUCCGUCAAUAAAAUUCGUCGUUUUCGAAUUGUUUCAGUUUCGUUAUUAAAUUAAGUCAUUAAAUUUGAGUUGUUUAUUAUGACUUAAUGGGUGUUCAAACACGUUAAUAACUCAAUAAAAUAUUCCAAAUUAACAAUUAGAAAAAUUUUAGUUUCGACCAUAUCGGGUUACGACAACUUUAUCGGGUGCGACCAAAAGCUUCGUAUAACGUCAGUAUCGGGUAGAAUUCCACUGGGCCAUAAACUCAACCCCUAUAUAAGGGAUUGAAUGAUAUCAUUUUGAAGCUUUUUCUCUCUCUAAAAUCACUUUCUCUCACUACUCUCUCUCUCUAGAACUCGAAAUUGAUCCAAAAACCCCAUUUUAAGCCUCAAUUUGGUAAGUACUCCAUCCUAACUUGUUGUUUAACUUGAUUGGCAGGCAAAUUCAUGUUUGAAUCACCAAAAAAAACACCCAUGAACAUGUGUUUAUGGUUUGGGGACCCUCCCAAAACCAUGAACACCCCUAAAGAGGGUUUUGAAGCCCCAAAACCCCUCCAAUCCACUUCUAGUGCUUAGAUAUGGCUUAGAAACUUGCAUGCGUGAGAUUAGGACCCUAAAAUCGCACCAUCUGAGGUAUGGACAUGAGUUUACGGCCCAAGAACAUGCUUGGACCGUAAACCCUCAUUCAUAGACCUUAAACACCUUUUAAGGUGUUAGUUUUCCCCUAAACACCUCCAAUGAACUUCCAUGAGUGCAUAGAACCUUAUAAUCCUUCAAGAAAUGCACCAAAACAUACAAAAAUGGGACAAACUUGAGUUUACGGUGUCACACCCCAAAACCGAGAACGGUGGAAACGUUCUGGGGCGGAGGACGUCAUGUAAGUAUCACAACGCAGAAUAAUAGCAAACAAGCAAACAACAUCAUCCAUUGCAUUAAAUAUAUAAUUUUAAUACAAGCAUGUUCUUGGUGUUCUUGGUGAAAGUUGUUACCUUUCGGAUGAUACUUGAGAGGAUUUUGAGUCCUUGCUUUGAAGAAAUGUAAGAAAUGAUCAAGAGACCAAGGAUUUCAUAUAUAUAUANUGGCCGCACACACCUAAAUUGGUGUGUUUGGCUCGAUUUUCCAAUGCUAUCCUCUAACUAUUCCAUCCUCCGACAAGUAUUCCAAUUAUACUAGGCUUUAUGCACUCAUUUAGACUCAUAAACCUCAUUAUAGAAUAGCAAAACGAAGCUAAUCUUUGAUAACAUUGAAGAAUGAAAGUUAGAAAUUUCGGGUUGUCACAUCAUCCCCCUGUUAAAGGGAAUUUUGUCCCGAAAUUAGGGUCUAAGUAAAUAAGUUAUUUACAGGAAACUAAGCGAAUAAAUGAGGAUAUUUCAAUUUCAUUUGGUCCUUGCGCUCCCGUGUGAAUUCCGGUCCCCGUUUGGCGUUCCAGCAAACCUUCACAAUCGGGAUGCGGCUUUGUUUCGUCUGUUUGAUCCAUGACCUCUACAGGUUCUUCCACGAAGUUGAGGCUCUCGUUGAUCUCGAUCUCGUCGAGUGGGAUUACGAGAGUCUCGUCAGACAGACACUUUUUCAAGUUAGAUACGUGGAAUGUAGAAUGUACGUUACGCAGUGUGUCGGGUAGAUCGAGUUUGUAAGCUACGGGGCCGACUCUGGCAAGAAUCUCGAAAGGCCCUAUGUACCUCGGAUUAAGCUUCCCACGCUUGCCGAAGCGUAUCAAGCCUUUCCAGGGUGAGACUUUGAGAAGGACUCGGUCUCCCACCUGAAAUUCCAAAGGUUUCCUUCGUUUAUCAGCGUAGCUCUUCUGUCGGUCUCUAGAGGCUUUCAAUCGUUC
rnacentral:lncRNA from 1 species